rnacentral:rRNA from 1 species
UACGUAGGGGGCAAGCGUUGUCCGGAAUCAUUGGGCGUAAAGAGCGUGUAGGCGGUUCGGUAAGUCCGCUGUAAAAGUCCAGGGCUCAACCCUGGAAAGCCGGUGGAAACUGUCGAACUAGAGUCCGGAGGAGGCGAGUGGAAUUCCUGGUGUAGCGGUGAAAUGCGCAGAUAUCAGGAGGAACACCGAUGGCGAAGGCAGCUCGCUGGGACGGUACUGACGCUGAGACGCGAAAGCGUGGGGAGCGAACAGG